AUACCACCGCAAAGUACUGUGGGAAGUCACGAGUGAUGAUGCGGCAGAUUCGUUUCUUUUCCAGGUCUUCCGGACUGUCCAGCACUGAGACAAGAAAUGACCCAUCUUCAUAGAGCAAGUGACUCCUGAGAACAUUCUAGCAGACUCACCGGCACAGUUAAUAGUGAACAGGGAGGGCAGCAAAGCCCCAUUUCAGUUAAAGUUAAAAUACAAGGCUAUCCUGACACCAAACAGGCUCAGAAGGAGAUAAAGAAGGAGCUGUGGGCAGGCUGCUCUUCACAGAUCAACUUGACUCUGGGCUGGGCUUUGCCUUCCUCUGUCUAGCCCUGUACAAACUUGGCACACUCCUGACAACGAGAUACAGGAUAUAUCUACAGAGAAAGGCCAGUUAUUGAUUGACCCAGUCCUUCUCUGCCAGGAGCAUAUUUAAAACAUGAAGUAGAAGGAGAGUAAACUAUCACUAAUGAUCAGUACAAAAAGCUGCAGCUCGAAGAUGCUGAUGGUUCAUUAUUACCAGUAAUCAACCACAAUGAGCGUUAGGGCAUAUGAAAAAGCUGUCCAGAAAGCAGAUGCAAAGGCAGAAAGUCAUAUACCUGGUGGCUGGGGAUCACAACCGCGUCAUCAAUCAUGGCACUGUCCCUCGGGUACGAUGCGUGGCUCAGAGUGUGAGACCUGUCGGAACUGAAGGACCGGAGGCUGAGUGUCAGUGUCCUCCCCUGGAAGGUACAGAAUGAAAUGAACUGUGGCCAAAUGCGUGCAUCCUGUGGAAGUGGAGCUCCUCCUGUUUACCUCGGGUUCCCUUGUCUGAAAUGGUAUUCCUAAAUGACCCCUGCUAUGUCCCAUUUACCACACAUGGAAUAUACUGUGUUGAAGAGUGUCUUCAAUGUCUCCAUCUCCUCCAAGAAUGCUGCACCAGGAUUAUUCUAUUUUAGUGCCCUUGUGUAACAUGAUAGCUGUCACAAAGGAAAGACUCACCCUCUUCAUCAGAGACAUCAAGAACCUCCGUCAUCGUCUCAGGAACAUUUAGCUUAUGUUUUUCCGUGAUCGUCUAAAACGAAAGAAAUCCGUCAUUGCAAAGUUAAAAACAAAGCCAGACAAAAAAAUGAACAGAGCCACAGAGGUGACCCCAUCUACAGCAGCAGCAAGCCAUCAGACCUCAAAGAGCCCAUCUCAUCCACACAGGCAUUUAGAAACUUACUCUCUUUUGUGAAAACUCCUUUGUAUUCUCCAAAGAUAAAAAUGGCCAAUGAUUCCAGCAACAUUGUACAAGAGAAGAUUCAUUACUGUUCGUUCCCAUUUGAAAAAUUGAGCCUUUAGUAACGGUGCUUGUAAUUCGUCAUACUGUAAAACCAAACUAAUGGCUUCAAGAAAUCCCUAAGAUGAACCAAGUGAAG